CUUGUCAGCUUCUUUGACCAGAUGACAGGGGAGCAGCUCCGAGCCAGGAAGAGCCGCGCAUCCCGGGAGAGCGCGGGCAGGACCAGCGCUGGGGAGGGGGCGGGCGGCCUGGAGGUGCUCCCAGGCUGGGGGGAGCUGUGUGUGGGGGUGUCCCCGGGCCCGGGGGACACGGAGCCAUGGUGGGUGCGCCAGCAAGCAUACAUGCGCGUGCACGUUCCCGUGGGUCUCAUGUCCUCGUGUGUACCUGCAUGUGCACGUGUGGUACCCGGUGUGGCAUGUAAACGUGCCUGGGCCGUCUGGAGUCCCUGUGGGUGUCCUGGGGCAGCCGUACCUGCCUCGGCCUUGGCAUGAGAAUGCUGCUGUAGGCUCUUCCCUGCGGGCCCUCAGGGAGCCGCGCCCCAGACCCGGUCCCGUCACAGCUGGGUCUGUGCACAGCGGGAGCUGCGGGGACCUUGCUGCAGAGCUCCCCGGGCAACAGCGUUGCACAGACUCAGCAUCCUUCAGUGACAGCCCUCCAGGUGUAACGUCCCAUGUGUGCCGAGGUCUGGGCCAUGGCAGGUGCAGGGGAACGUGGGAGGAGGCACUGGUGCUCGUGGAGACAGCCUGGAGGAGGGGGGGCUUGGGGGGAGCCUCGGACGCCUGCUGGCUCUUCUGUGACCCUCUGUCAGAUACUUGUCCACUCUGUCCUUGGCUUCUAGUCACUGCACUCAUGCGGCUCACCCCUUCCUGGCCUUCUUUCUCUCUCUGCUCCUGGGGUUCCUUGAGUGGCCCCUGGGCACAGUCUGGGGGUCUGCUUCACCCCUGGCAGCAGAGACCCCACAUCUGCCUCUACCCUGACUUCUCUGCAGAGUUCUGGAACUGCAUUUCCAGCUGGGAAGACUGCCAGGUGCCUCAGAACCUGCCAGCAGGGGGCGGAGCUCAUCUUGGCUUCAUCUGUAUACCUGCCUGGUUUGCAUCCCUUCCUGGGGAAGCCCCCGCCCUCCCGCCUCUGAGCUGGGGUCCAGAAGCCCAGCCAGGUCCGUUCUCCUGCGGUGCCCUUCCCUGUCCAUCCUCCCGCUCUCAUCUCUUGGGUCUUGACCACUUCUGACACCCCCGGACUGUCAAGUCUGCCCGCCCAUCUUGCAGCUCCCUGCCCGCUGACAUGUGUUGAGUCUGUGCUCCACAGCCUCCGGAGCCUCCCUCUCCUGUCCUUAGGGCCCUGCUGCUCCUCUGCUUGACCCUUCCUGGGCCCUCUGGGGCCGUCGGGUACACUCCAGGCUUGGCUCUGCAGGGCAUCCUGUGGGCCCUUGCCCUCCUCCUGGCCGCCCUCACACCCCCACCGGCUCAGUCCAGGAGGAGGUGUCUGGCUCCCCACCCAGUUCUCUGCAGGCUCCCAGCCCUCCCUGCCCCUGCUCUGUGAUUGGG
rnacentral:lncRNA from 1 species